UACGUAGGCAGCAAGCGUUGUCCGGAAUUAUUGGGCGUAAAGGGCUCGUAGGCGGUUUGUCGCGUCGGGAGUGAAAUCCACUGGCUUAACUGGUGGCUUGCUUUCGAUACGGGCAGACUGGAGGUAUGCAGGGGAGAACGGAAUUCCUGGUGUAGCGGUGAAAUGCGCAGAUAUCAGGAGGAACACCGGUGGCGAAGGCGGUUCUCUGGGCAUGUCCUGACGCUGAGGAGCGAAAGUGUGGGGAGCGAACAGG
rnacentral:rRNA from 1 species